rnacentral:tRNA from 1 species
GCCUGGGUGGCACAAGUAGUUUGUGAUCAGCUGUUAACCUGAAAGUUGAUGGUUCAAACCCACCCACAGGCU